AACACUCUUUCUUUCCCCCUUUUACCUAGACAGUGUGGGAGAAGAAUGUUAACCACAUGGCCUUAGCGGCAUAUUCUGCUUUCUGAUCGCUUUCAUUAAAGAAAAAUCCCUAUUUGAGAGAGGAAGGAAGACUGAAAAUAUAGAACGUCACAUCCCAUCUUAAGAAAGAGAAGAUCAAGUCUGGAGUUUCUCUAUCUUCAUCUGAAAUUGUAGGGAUGAUCAAUUUAUUUAAGAAACCUUGUAAG